rnacentral:rRNA from 1 species
UACGUAGGGUGCAAGCGUUAUCCGGAAUUAUUGGGCGUAAAGAGCUCGUAGGCGGUUUGUCACGUCUGCUGUGAAAACUGGAGGCUCAACCUCCAGCCUGCAGUGGGUACGGGCAGACUAGAGUGCGGUAGGGGAGAUUGGAAUUCCUGGUGUAGCGGUGGAAUGCGCAGAUAUCAGGAGGAACACCGAUGGCGAAGGCAGAUCUCUGGGCCGGAACUGACGCUGAGGAGCGAAAGCAUGGGGAGCGAACAGG